GAGUGAAGAGGGAAGAGCUCAUCAUUGGAAUCUGGCAGUGUUACACUGUCCGAGUUGUAGAUGAGGAGUAGUCCGUCUGGACUGCAUGGCGUCCAAGUACAAUAGGCCGUCAGUGGGACAUCAUAGAGGGUGACAAUCCCGUCCUUGACGCCAAUGUGCAAGUCUAUUACGAUGGCUAUCUCAGAGAGUCGAGCAGUUUGGGAUUUGCUGCUUAAACAUGGGAGGUAGAUUCCUUCUAAAGCUAAAUACAGGCGAGAGACCGAUAGAGAACAAGUACCGCAAGGGAAAGAUGAAAUAGCACUCUGUGAAGGGAGUCAAAAGGCGUGAAAUUGUUGCGAGAGAAGCGAUUCAAGUCAGCGUAGCUAGGCCCAUCAAGCGUCUUCGCUUUGGACUAGCUUUGCCAGCGGUCUUGUCCCUUAAAGAGACUUGACUUGUAAUAUGUCCAGCCUGGCGUGCACAGGCAGCCCCUUCUGGGGGCCAGUGGCAUGGCUGGUGGAAUGGCUUGCAAUCGACCCGUCUUGAAACACGGACCAAGGAGUCUAACAUGUAUGCGAGUAUAAGGGUGGCAAACCCGUAUGCGCAAUGAAAGUGAUUUUCGGUGAUUGAGAAUGGCCUGAUGACCAGACAAGCAAUAUAUGUCCCUCGUACGGCCAUUGCCCAAGUUCCGUGGUAGAUCCCACGAACAUGGAGUUGGAGCAUACAUGCUAGGACCCGAAAGAUGGUGAACUAUGCCUGGACAAAGCGAAGCCAAAGGAAACUCUGGUGGAGGCUUGUAGCGAUUCUGACGUGCAAAUCGAUCGUCUGAUCUGGGUAUAGGGGCGAAAGACUA
rnacentral:rRNA from 1 species